rnacentral:rRNA from 1 species
UACGUAGGGGGCAAGCGUUGUCCGGAUUUAUUGGGCGUAAAGAGCUCGUAGGCGGCUUGUCGCGUCGACUGUGAAAUCCCGCGGCUCAACCGCGGGUCUGCAGUCGAUACGGGCAGGCUAGAGUUCGGUAGGGGAGACUGGAAUUCCUGGUGUAGCGGUGAAAUGCGCAGAUAUCAGGAGGAACACCGAUGGCGAAGGCAGGUCUCUGGGCCGAUACUGACGCUGAGGAGCGAAAGCGUGGGGAGCGAACAGG